CGACCCCAGGUCAGGCGAGACUACCCGCUGAGUUUAAGCAUAUCAAUAAGCGGAGGAGAAGAAACUUACAAGGAUUUCCUUAGUAACGGCGAGAAAUGGGAACAGCCCAGCCUUAGAAUCGAAUGGUUCUGCCGUUUGAAUUGUAGUCUGGAGAAGCGUCCUUAGCGGCGGACUGGGCCCAAGUCCCCUGGAAAGGGGCGCCGGAGAGGGUGAGAGCCCCGUCGGGCCUAGACCCUGUCGCACCACGAGGUGCUGUCUUAGAGUCGGGUUGUUUGGGAAUGCAGCCCAAAUUUGGUGGUGAAUUCCGUCCAAGGCUAAAUACAGGUGAGAGCCCGAUAGCGAACAAGUACCGCGAGGGAAAGAUGAAAAGAACUUUGAAAAAAGAGCCAAAGAGUGCUUGAAAUUGUCGAGAGGGAAGCGGAUGGAGACCGGCGAUGGGCCCAGGUUGGAUGUGGAACGGUGGUUAGCCGGUCUGCUGAUAGGCUCUGGGUGUGGAUCAGCGAGAAUUCAGGUGGCGGUUGAAGCUCGGGCAUUUGAUAUGCUAGGGGAAUGCCGUCUCUUGUAUUGUGGGAAGUAGUGCGCGCCCCGCGCGUGCUUCGGCACCUGCGUACUCAGGUCGUUGACUUGUGGGCUCUCCAUUCGACCCGUCUUGAAACACGGACCAAGGAGUCUGACAUGUGUGCGAGUUGGCGAGUGGAAAAACUCGCAAGGCGUAAGGAAGCUGAUUGGCGGGAUCCCUCUUCGGGGUGCACCGUCGACCGACCUUGAUCUUUUGAGAAGGGUUUGAGUGUGAGCAUACCUGUUGGGACCCGAAAGAUGGUGAACUAUGCCUGAGCGGGGUGAAGCCAGAAGAAACUCUGGUGGAAGCCCGCAGCGAUACUGACGUGCAAAUCGUUCGUCUGACUUGGGUAUAGGGGCGAAAGACUAAUCGAACCGUCUAGUAGCUGGUUCCCUCCGAAGUUUCCCUCAGGAUAGC
rnacentral:rRNA from 1 species